rnacentral:rRNA from 1 species
CCUACGGGCGGCUGCAGUGGGGAAUAUUGGACAAUGGGCGGAAGCCUGAUCCAGCAAUACCGCGUGUGUGAAGAAGGCCUGAGGGUUGUAAAGCACUUUCAAUAGGAAGGAAUACCUAUCCAUUAAUACUGGGUAGACUGACAUUACCUAUACAAGAAGCACCGGCUAACUCCGUGCCAGCAGCCGCGGUAAUACGGAGUGUGCAAGCGUUAAUCGGAAUUACUGGUCGGCGACCGUUCAUGUCAGAUUCGAAAGCCCCGGGCUUAACCUGGGAAUGGCAUUUGAUACUGGCGAGCUAGAGUUGAGUAGAGGGGAGUGGAAUGUCAGGUGUAGCGGUGAAAUGCGUAGAGAUCUGAAGGAACACCAGUGGCGAAGGCGACUCCCUGGACUCAAACUGACGCUGAGGUACGAAAGCGUGGGUAGCAAACAGGAUUAGAUACCCCGGUAGUC